rnacentral:rRNA from 1 species
UGGCAUCAGAGCGUGACGAAAGGUUUUUUUCCGGACAGGGAUGGGGAUGCGUCCGAUUAGGCAGGCGGCGGGGCGACGGCCCACCGCGCCGACGAUCGGUAGGGGUUCUGAGAGGAAGGUCCCCCACAUUGGAACUGAGACACGGUCCAAACUCCUACGGGAGGCAGCAGUGAGGAAUAUUGGUCAAUGGGCGAGAGCCUGAACCAGCCAAGUAGCGUGAGGGAUGACGGCCCUACGGGUUGUAAACCUCUUUUUCGCGGGGAUAAAGUGCGCCACGCGUGGCGUUUUGCAGGUACCGCGUGAAUAAGGACCGGCUAAUUCCGUGCCAGCAGCCGCGGUAAUACGGAAGGUCCGGGCGUUAUCCGGAUUUAUUGGGUUUAAAGGGAGCGUAGGCGGCAUGUUAAGCGUGCUGUGAAAUGCGUCGGCUCAACCGCCGCAGUGCAGCGCGAACUGGCUUGCUUGAGUUCGCUGAAGGAAGGCGGAAUUCGUGGUGUAGCGGUGAAAUGCUUAGAUAUCACGAAGAACCCCGAUUGCGAAGGCAGCUUUCCGUAGCGUUACUGACGCUGAAGCUCGAAGGUGC